rnacentral:piRNA from 1 species
GAAACCUCUGUCGCCAGUGGUGCGUUUGCCU